rnacentral:rRNA from 1 species
AGAUUCCUACGGGAGGCAGCAGUGGGGAAUUUUUCGCAAUGGGCGCAAGCCUGAUGGAGCAACGCCGCGUGAGUGAAGACGGCCUUCGGGUUGUAAAGCUCUGUCUGUCGGGACGAAGACCGGGACGGGAGUCCCGGGGAGCCGGUACCGACGAAGGAAGCCCCUGCAAACUACGUGCCAGCAGCCGCGGUAAGACGUAGGGGGCAAGCGUUGUCCGGAAUUACUGGGCGUAAAGGGCGUGUAGGCGGUGCGAUACGUAGCGGUUUUAAGCCUCCGGCUCACCCGGAGGAGGGCGGCUAAACGGUCGCACUGGAGGGCAGGAGAGGUGCGUGGAAUUCCUGGUGGAGCGGUGAAAUGCGUAGAGAUCAGGAAGAACACCAGUGGCGAAGGCGGCGCACUGGCCUGGCCCUGACGCUGAGGCGCGACAGCGUGGGGAGCAAACGGGAUUAGAUACCCCGGUAGUCCACGCCGUAAACGAUGGAUACUAGGUGUCGUGGGGGUCCACCCUGCGGUGCCGGAGCUAACGCACUAAGUAUCCCGCCUGGGGAGUACGGCCGCAAGGUUGAAACUCAAAGGAAUUGACGGGGGCCCGCACAAGCAGUGGAGCAUGUGGUUUAAUUCGACGCAACGCGCAGAACCUUACCAGGACUGGACAGGAUCGUGAGCGCCGCGAAAGCGGCGGGCCCUUCGGGGAGCGGUCUCAGGUGCUGCAUGGUUGUCGUCAGCUCGUGUCGUGAGAUGUUGGGUUAAGUCCCGCAACGAGCGCAACCCUUGUCGUGUGUUGCCAGCGGUUCGGCCGGGCACUCACACGAGACUGCCGGUGACAAACCGGAGGAAGGUGGGGAUGACGUCAAAUCCGCAUGGCCUUUAUGUCCUGGGCCACACACGUGCUACAAUGGUCCCGACAACGGGCCGCGACCGCGCGAGCGGCAGCGAAUCCUUCAAACGGGAUCUCAGUUCGGAUUGUAGGCUGCAACCCGCCUGCAUGAAGCCGGAAUUGCUAGUAAUCGCCCAUCAGCAUGGGGCGGUGAAUUCGUUCCCGGGCCUUGUACACACCGCCC